AUUGAACGCUGGCGGCAUGCCUUACACAUGCAAGUCGAACGGUAACAGGUCUUCGGAUGCUGACGAGUGGCGAACGGGUGAGUAAUACAUCGGAACGUGCCUAGUAGUGGGGGAUAACUACUCGAAAGAGUGGCUAAUACCGCAUGAGAUCUACGGAUGAAAGCAGGGGAUCGCAAGACCUUGUGCUACUAGAGCGGCCGAUGGCAGAUUAGGUAGUUGGUGGGAUAAAAGCUUACCAAGCCGACGAUCUGUAGCUGGUCUGAGAGGACGAUCAGCCACACUGGGACUGAGACACGGCCCAGACUCCUACGGGAGGCAGCAGUGGGGAAUUUUGGACAAUGGGCGCAAGCCUGAUCCAGCAAUGCCGCGUGCAGGAUGAAGGCCUCGGUUGUAAC
rnacentral:rRNA from 1 species